rnacentral:rRNA from 1 species
UACGUAGGGUGCAAGCGUUAAUCGGAAUUACUGGGCGUAAAGCGUGCGCAGGCGGUUUUUUAAGUCUGUCGUGAAAUCCCCGGGCUUAACCUGGGAAUGGCGAUGGAGACUGCAAGGCUAGAAUCUGGCAGAGGGGGGGUAGAAUUCCACGUGUAGCAGUGAAAUGCGUAGAGAUGUGGAGGAAUACCGAUGGCGAAGGCAGCCCCCCUGGGCCAAUACUGACGCUCAUGC